rnacentral:rRNA from 1 species
GAUGAACGCUGGCGGCGUGCCUAAUACAUGCAAGUCGAGCGAACGGACGAGAAGCUUGCUUUUCUGAUUUUAGCGGCGGACGGGAGCGUAACACUUGGAUAACCUACCUAUAAGACUGGGAUAAAUUCGGGAAACCGGAGCUAAUACCGGAUAAUAUUUUGAACCGCAUGGUUCAAAAGUGAAAUACGGUCUGGCAUUCACUUAUAGAUUGAUCCGCGCUGCAUUAGCUAGUUGGUAAGGUAACGGCUUACCAAGGCAACGAUGCUUAACCGACCUAGGAGGGUGAUAGGCCACCCUGGAACUGAGCCUAGCUACAGACUCCUACGGGAGGCACAAGUAGGGUAUCUUACGCAAUGGGCGAAAGCAUGACGCAACAGCGCGGAGUAAGUGAUGAAGGUCCUCGGAUCGUAAAAAUCUGUUAUUAGGGAAAAACAUAUGUGAAAGUAGAUGUGCACAUAUUGACGGUACAUAAUCAGAAAGCAACGGCUAACUACGUG